rnacentral:miRNA from 1 species
UGCGUUCUGGAGGCUUCAGGUUCCUUUCGCUGAAACCAGGAGAGUUUUGCUCUCCCGGCUUCAGCAAGAGGAACCUGAAGCCUGAGGAGCACA